AGAGUUUGAUCCUGGCUCAGGAUAAACGCUGGCGGCGCACAUAAGACAUGCAAGUCGAACGGAAGUCGUUAUAAUUGAUUCCGAUUGAAAGAUUUAUCCGAAUUGAAGAAGAUUUUAUAACAAUGGCUUUAGUGGCGGACUGGUGAGUAACGCGUAAGCAAUCUGCCUAUUAGAGGGGAAUAACAGUGAGAAAUCAUUGCUAAUACCGCAUAUGCCAUGAACAUCGCAUGAUGAAAAUGGGAAAGGAGUAAUCCGCUAAUAGAUGAGCUUGCGUCUGAUUAACUAGUUGGUGGGGCAACGGCCUACCAAGGUUAUGAUCAGUAGCCGGACUGAGAGGUUGAACGGCCACAUUGGGACUGAGAUACGGCCCAGACUCCUACGGGAGGCAGCAGUCGGGAAUAUUGCGCAAUGGAGGAAACUCUGACGCAGUGACGCCGCGUAUAGGAUGAAGGUUUUCGGAUUGUAAACUAUUGUCAUUAGGGAAGAUGAAAGACAGUACCUAAGGAGGAAGCUCCGGCUAACUACGUGCCAGCAGCCGCGGUAAUACGUAGGGAGCAAGCGUUAUCCGGAUUUAUUGGGUGUAAAGGGUGCGUAGACGGGAAAUUAAGUUAGUUGUGAAAUCCCUCGGCUCAACUGAGGAACUGCAACUAAAACUGGUUUUCUUGAGUGCAGGAGAGGAAAGAGGAAUUCCUAGUGUAGCGGUGAAAUGCGUAGAUAUUAGGAGGAAUACCAGUGGCGAAGGCGUCUUUCUGGACUGUAACUGACGUUGAGGCACGAAAGUGUGGGGAGCAAACAGGAUUAGAUACCCUGGUAGUCCACACCGUAAACGAUGGAUACUAGGUGUAGGAUGUGUUAAACAUUCUGUGCCGUCGCAAACGCAAUAAGUAUCCCACCUGGG
rnacentral:rRNA from 1 species